CCCGCCAAGGCAUCCUUGCCUGUAUUUAUAUACACUAAAACCUCUGCCGGGAUAAAACAGCCAUGUAAAAUCCAAUUUCCUCAGAAUCUCUUUUGGAGCCUGGGCCUGAGAGAUGGAGUAGGUAACCUCGGCGGUUACCGCCUGAACCACUCCUGCUGGCUGCAAAGCUUGGAACUUGUCCCUUCCUGGACUGUGAAAAGAGCAUACAGCCCAACCUCCCUGCCAACAAGCUGUACCAUCCUGAAGAGGAAAGCCCAAUGGUAGAAGCACAUCAGUGAUUCCCAGCUUCUGUUUCUAUCAGAACUGCUUGAUGAAGCUCCUUUAACACAAAUAGAUUUACUCACAUACCUUAACUGUAAGAGGUGUGUAUGUGCCAGCAGGGGUUUCUGGAACCAUGUACCUUUGUCGGAGCUCCCCCAUUUAAUUCUUACACAAUUCCACGCAGGUAUUACCUAAAGAGAACCAUUAC
rnacentral:lncRNA from 1 species